rnacentral:rRNA from 1 species
UACGUUCGGAUUGUAGGCUGCAACUCGCCUACAUGAAGCUGGAAUUGCUAGUAAUCAUAGGUCAGCAUACUAUGGUGAAUACGUUCCCGGGCCUUGUACACACCGCCCGUCACACCAUGAGAGUUGAGAAUACCCGAAGUCCAUGUUAAAGUGGCCGAAGGUAGGCUUGAUGAUUGGGGUGAAGUCGUAACAAGGUACC